GUAACAAGUAUAGAUUAAGCAUCGGUUACAUUGACAACUUAGGUAGAUUUAUUACUGAAAUAGAGCCAGAUCCUCAUAGGAAAUACGAAUCUCGCUUGACUCGGGCUGUAAAACGAUUGUAAAUAUAGAACAAGAUAAGGCUAAGGAAGAGUUUAGCAUGGAGGAUCGCUGAGAUGAUCGUUCGUGAAAUCACGUCCUUGACACUCGGGGCUACGAAUCUUCCUUCUUGA